rnacentral:rRNA from 1 species
GAUGAACGCUGGCGGCGUGCCUAAUACAUGCAAGUCGAGCGAAUGGAUUAAGAGCUUGCUCUUAUGAAGUUAGCGGCGGACGGGUGAGUAACACGUGGGUAACCUGCCCAUAAGACUGGGAUAACUCCGGGAAACCGGGGCUAAUACCGGAUAACAUUUUGAACCGCAUGGUUCGAAAUUGAAAGGCGGCUUCGGCUGGCACUUAUGGAUGGACCCGCGUCGCAUUAGCCAGUUGGUGAGGUAACGGCUCACCAAGGCAACGAGGCGUAGCCGACCUGAGAGGGUGAUCGGCCACACUGGGACUGAGACACGGCCCAGACUCCUACGGGAGGCAGCAGUAGGGAAUCUUCCGCAAUGGACGAAAGUCUGACGGAGCAACGCCGCGUGAGUGAUGAAGGCUUUCGGGUCGUAAAACUCUGUUGUUAGGGAAGAACAAGUGCUAGUUGAAUAAGCUGGCACCUUGACGGUACCUAACCAGAAAGCCACGGCUAACUACGUGCCAGCCGCCGCCGUAA